UACGUAGGGUGCAAGCGUUGUCCGGAAUUAUUGGGCGUAAAGAGCUCGUAGGCGGUCUGUCGCGUCUGCUGUGAAAACUCGGGGCUUAACCCUGAGCUUGCAGUGGGUACGGGCAGACUAGAGUGCGGUAGGGGAGACUGGAAUUCCUGGUGUAGCGGUGAAAUGCGCAGAUAUCAGGAGGAACACCGGUGGCGAAGGCGGGUCUCUGGGCAACAACUGACGCUGAGGAGCGAAAGCGUGGGGAGCGAACAGG
rnacentral:rRNA from 1 species